rnacentral:rRNA from 1 species
AGAGUUUGAUCCUGGCUCAGAGUUAACGCUGGCAGCGUGCAUAACACAUGCAAGUCGAGCGGGACUGUUUGAGAUUAUAUCAAUGAUAGUUUAGCGGCAGACGAGUGAGUAACACGUAAGAAAUCUACUAAAGUCGGGGACAACUUGCCGAAAGGCGAGCUAAUACCCGAUAUAAUCCCGAUGUGGCAUCACAAUGGGAU